ACCAGUCCUCAAAUGCACUAACUAAUUAAAUAUUCCCUUAAACCAUUAGAUAUGUCGCAAACUACCAUUUAUAACACAAUUUUAUUCAUUCAAUCAUAAUUGCUACCAAUUGCUAAGGAAUUCAGAGUAGGUUUACAUUGACUCUACAUUAUGUAUCAAUAAUUUUCGCUCUAAUUGGUACCUCAAUAGUCCCAUGAGCAAUUUGAAUUGAUUAGUGAUCUGAUCGACACACAUGAGUUGGCACUCCAAUAUAAUCAAGAUGUAGUCUUAGACCAUCCUGUUAUCACAUCCAAUAAUCCUCUAGUUUAUAU
rnacentral:lncRNA from 1 species